rnacentral:rRNA from 1 species
UACGUAGGGCGCAAGCGUUAUCCGGAAUUAUUGGGCGUAAAGAGCUCGUAGGCGGUUUGUCGCGUCUGCCGUGAAAGUCCGGGGCUCAACUCCGGAUCUGCGGUGGGUACGGGCAGACUAGAGUGAUGUAGGGGAGACUGGAAUUCCUGGUGUAGCGGUGAAAUGCGCAGAUAUCAGGAGGAACACCGAUGGCGAAGGCAGGUCUCUGGGCAUUAACUGACGCUGAGACGCGAAAGCAUGGGGAGCAAACAGG